ACGGACGUAGCGGCAGGCCCAAACAUGCAAGUCGAGGGGCAGCAUCCUGUGCUUGCACAGGGAUGGCGACCGGCGCACGGGUGCGCAACGCGUAUGGAACCUGCCCACCGCAGGGGAAUAGCCCGGGGAAACCCGGAUUAAUGCCCCGUGGCAUCCCUGAGCGGCAUCGCUCGGGGAUUAAAGUCUACGGGCGGCGGUGGAUGGCCAUGCGUGCCAUUAGCUGGUUGGUGGGGCAACGGCCCACCAAGGCGACGAUGGCUAGGGGCCCUGAGAGGGGGAUCCCCCACACUGGUACUGAGACACGGACCAGACUCCUACGGGAGGCAGCAGUGAGGAAUAUUGGACGAUGGGCGGAGGCCUGAUCCAGCCAUGCCGCGUGCGGGAAGACGGCCCUACGGGUCGUAAACCGCUUCUGUACGGGAAGAACCCCCCCGACGUGUCGGGGGUUGACGGUACCGUAAGAAUAAGGACCGGCUAACUCCGUGCCAGCAGCCGCGGUAAUACGGAGGGUCCGAGCGUUAUCCGGAAUCAUUGGGUUUAAAGGGUCCGUAGGCGGGCCGUUAAGUCAGGGGUGAAAUACUGCGGCUCAACCGUAGAGGUGCCCUUGAUACUGGCGGUCUUGAGUCACGAUGGGGCGGCCGGAAUAUGUUGUGUAGCGGUGAAAUGCAUAGAUAUCACAUAGAACACCGAUCGCGAAGGCAGGUCGCCAACCGUGUACUGACGCUGAUGGACGAAAGCGUGGGUAGCGAACGGGAUUAGAUACCCCGGUAGUCCACGCCGUAAACGAUGGACACUAGCUGUGGGGCCCUUGGGCCCCGUGGCCAAGCGAAAGUGAUAAGUGUCCCACCUGGGGGAGUACGUUCGCAAGAAUGAAACUCAAAUGAAUUGACGG
rnacentral:rRNA from 1 species